UACGUAGGGUGCGAGCGUUAAUCGGAAUUACUGGGCGUAAAGCGUGCGUAGGCGGUUCGCUGUGUCCGAUGUGAAAGCCCCGGGCUUAACCUGGGAAUGGCAUUGGAAACUGGCGGGCUUGAGUGCGGCAGAGGGGGGUGGAAUGCCGCGUGUAGCAGUGAAAUGCGUAGAGAUGCGGAGGAACACCGAUGGCGAAGGCAGCCCCCUGGGUCGACACUGACGCUCAGGCACGAAAGCGUGGGGAGCAAACAGG
rnacentral:rRNA from 1 species